GUAGAUAUUCUGUUACCUAAAAGGAUCUCAGUUUUCUAGUUGAUUCUGGACUUCAAAAUAAUCAGUAAUUAGUUAUUAGUGAGGCAUAUUACUUUUAAGGAAUUAUGCAAUUACCCUUCUUGGAUUAGCUAUAUUCAGUUUUUAUUUUGAGCUCUAUGGAAUAGAUGAGAUAUUUGUCCACACUUCAUAUCAAACGGGUAAGUGAUAAAAAGUAACUACAAAUGCAUUCAUCCAGGACAAUGACCUUGAUAAAAUAC
rnacentral:misc_RNA from 1 species